UACUUUUUUUUUUUUUUUAAAGACAGUCUCAUUAUCAACUCAGAUCUGGAAUUAAAUUCUAGAAUUAAAGGCUUGCACCACCACAGCCAGUCCAUACAAUAUGUUUCUAAGAAUAAAAAUAAUCUAGUUAGUCAUUCAGAAAUAUUUGGGACAUAAAAAAUGAAAAAAACAUAAAUCACAUUUUUUAAUAAAAACAUAGAAAAGGUGUUCUUUCACUUUUUAUGUUUACGUGAAAAGCUUUACUUAGUACAAGAGACUUUCUGUGCUUAAAUCCUUCCUACUAAUUUUCUUACAGCCAAGCAUGGUGACACAUAGUUUAUAAUCUCAGUCUCCAGAAGGACGAGGCAGCUAGACUGAGUUUGAGGCCAGUCUGGACUACAGAGUUGGGAUCUUGUUUCAGAAAAGAUAAAAAGGGGAAAGAUUCAAGAUUGUGUUAUUGUCUAUAAAAUGAUAGAAAGCUUUCCCCGCGGAGGUUCAUUUGCUCACAGGUAGGUAGGUAGGUAUACCAGGAAGGGGAACAGUAGGAAGGUGACCAGUUGUACUAACAAGGUAGUAGAAGUAUAGUCAGUCACAAUAAGUGUACUAGCAAUAUGCAGAAGAAUUCCAGAAAGGGUCCUAUAUAAAAAAUACAAGUUGUAAGUUGUAGUUGGAAAAUUGGCUCAGUGAGUAAGAGUACUGGCUGCUCUGCCAGAGGACCUGGGUUCUGUUCCCAGCACCACAUAAUUCCAGAUCCAGGAGUGUAUAUCUUUUGUUUCCUCCUGCUAUAUUACACACACACACACACACACACACACACCUUACUAUAUUAAAACAAUUUUCUACAUGUCUGAACUUAAAAACAGAAAGGGAAAAUAUCACACACACGCGCACACACAAUCUCUUUGGAAAUCAGAAAGUAAGGUGUAACAAAUUUAGUGUGCCCAAAGUAAGCCCGUGUGGAACCCACAAGGAGCAACAAGUGUGUCAGAGUCCCAGAAGGACGGUUUAGAGAGACGAGUUCCUCUCCAGUGUGGGUCUAUAGCAGGGGUAGACCUGGAGUAGGAUAGUAAGACCUGGAUAACCCAGCUAGGCAUCCAGCCCCUCUCCUGGGUCUGCAGGUAGCCAUAGGCCUGUUUAACUGGGGACAGAUUACCAAAAGAUACAGAUCAGGGUCUUCAAACCUAAGAUGAUGUUUUAAGUGAGAAGUCUGUGUAUGGGAAGGUGAAAGCUCUACUACCUUAAUCUUUGCCUGUUUAAAUACUAGUUUCUAGAAGUAUCUUCCCAAGGGUGACAUGCCUUCCCAGCGUGGCAUUAAAGGAGAUAAGUGACCUAUCUAGACACAGAGUGAGAACUGAGGGUGUGGCUCAGUGUUAGAGCAUUUGCCUUCAUACACACAGCCCUAGAGUCAGUGUGCCGCCUCCUACAACCUCCUCCCAGGAGUGAAGCCUACAAGGAAAGUGGUAAACUCGCCAGUGUUUAUACCGAAACCUAAUUAUGACCCUGUUUAUUACUCUAUGGUAGCAAGCUUUUUUAUUUCAAGACUUAUAGUUGUUUCAGAGUUAUCAAGGUACCCCUAGUCACAUUAAAGGGGGUUAUAGCUAUUAAUACAGUAGCUGUGCCAUAAAACAAGGGUAAGCAAGAUGGCUCAGCCGCCAAGCCCCUAGGUCCCACAUGGUAGGAGAGAAGGAAUUCUUGCAGAUUAUCCUCUGACAUCCUCACAAAAGUGUAUACACACAAAUACAAAACUAGAGAAAAAUGU
rnacentral:lncRNA from 1 species